GACUUGAUGGACCCCGGGGAUCCCCGGGACCACCAGGUCCCCCAGGACCACCUGCACCAUCGGUUCCUCCUGGCGAAGGGUUAUGUGAGCAGGGGCCUCCAGGUCCUCCCGGAAUUCCAGGACAACAAGGCUUUAUGGGGGAGCGAGGCCAAAAAGGUGAUCAAGGAGACACAUGCUUCAAUUGCAUAGGAACUGGAAUAUCUGGGCCUCCUGGGGAGAGAGGACCUCCAGGACCUCCAGGUAGUCCAGGUAAAGCUGUAAUCAUCACUAUUUUG
rnacentral:lncRNA from 1 species